GGGGGUGCGUUGACAGGGAGGAGUAAAUAACUUCGUCUUUCUUAGAGAGUUCCGUUUGCUGAAAAGGAAUAAAGGCCGUUAUUGAAGGUAGCCCUCGAGCUUGUUUAUUGAAAUGAAGUAGGUAAACACGUGGACCGCGUUAAGGUAAUGAGGCAUCAAUGAUGCGAAGUAAGGUGGUACCACGUUCCAGACGUCCUUAUG
rnacentral:ncRNA from 1 species